UACGGAGGGUGCGAGCGUUGUCCGGAAUCAUUGGGCGUAAAGCGCGUGUAGGCGGCUCGAUAAGUCUGCUGUGAAAGUCCAGGGCUCAACCCUGGGAUGCCGGUGGAUACUGUCGGGCUCGAGUCCGGAAGAGGCGAGUGGAAUUCCUGGUGUAGCGGUGAAAUGCGCAGAUAUCAGGAGGAACACCAAUGGCGAAGGCAGCUCGCUGGGACGUGACUGACGCUGAGACGCGAAAGCGUGGGGAGCAAACAGG
rnacentral:rRNA from 1 species